rnacentral:rRNA from 1 species
GACGAACGCUGGCGGCGUGCCUAAUACAUGCAAGUAGAACGCUGAAGAGAGGAGCUUACUCUUCUUGGAUGAGUUGCGAACGGGUGAGUAACGCGUAGGUAACCUGCCUUGUAGCGGGGGAUAACUAUUGGAAACGAUAGCUAAUACCGCAUAACAAUGGAUGACACAUGUCAUUUAUUUGAAAGGGGCAAUUGCUCCACUACAAGAUGGACCUGCGUUGUAUUAGCUAGUAGGUGAGGUAAUGGCUCACCUAGGCGACGAUACAUAGCCGACCUGAGAGGGUGAUCGGCCAGACUGGGACUGAGACACGGCCCAGACUCCUACGGGAAGCAGCAGGAGGGAAUCUUCGGCAAUGGGGGCAAACCUGACCGAGCAACGCCGCGGGAGUGAAGAAGGUUUUCGGGUCGUAAAGGUCUGUUGUAAGUCAAGAAAGGGUGUGAGAGUGGAAAGUUCACACUGUGACGGUAGCUUACCAGAAAGGGACGGCUAACUACGUG